AGAGUCUGGGUUACUCUUUCCUGCAGAACUGUUCUUCAGUACCUCUAGAUAGAAAAUAGUCCAACAUCAAGUCUUGCAUGAGUUUUCCUUUACCAAAGAUCUAGUAGUCUAGAAGAUAUUUAAAAAUCACAUUAUUGAGCCCACAUCUGCAAAAAGGAGAAGUAUAUACAAUAUUCUUAGGACUCAAUACAUAUUACUUGUGUGCUUGUCUUUGCAUGGACAUGUAUGUGUUUUAAUUUCUCUUGCGUAAACACUUAGGGUUGGCAUUGCUGACCCACAUGGUCAUACACUUUGUCUUCCUCACUGUGAUCCUUCCCAGCCUGCUCUGGGUUGGGUGAUGUAUCAAGAAACCAGCAGGAAACAGGUGGCACACUCAGUAACAGAGCCCAGAUCCAAGAAGGGGGACAGAAACUCCAUUUCUCUAUGGGAGAUAAUGAAACAUAGAAACAGAGAGGUUAAGUAUCUUGCCUAAAGUCAAACAGCAACAAAUAGUGGAGCCCUCAGAGUUUACUCUUUUGACCAUCAUGCUGUGCUGUCGG